GCGCUUGUAGCUCAGCUGGAUAGAGCGUCGCCCUCCGAAGGCGAAGGCCGUGAGUUCGAAUCUCGCCAAGCGCGCCA
rnacentral:tRNA from 1 species